rnacentral:rRNA from 1 species
CCUACGGGUGGCAGCAGUGAGGAAUAUUGGUCAAUGGGCUUACGCCUGAACCAGCCAAGUCGCGUGAGGGAAGACUGCCCUAUGGGUUGUAAACCUCUUUUGUCAGGGAGCAAUUGGCGCUGCGUGUAGCGUUAUCGAGAGUACCUGAAGGAAAAGCAUCGGCUAACUCCGUGCCUGCCGCCGCCGUAAUACGGGAGAUGCGAUCGUGAUCCGGAUUUAGUGGGUUUACAGGGUGCGUAGGCGGAAUGCCAAAUCAGCGGUAAAAUCGCGGGGCUCAACCUCGCACCGCCGUGGAGACUGGCGGUCGUGAGUGGGCGAGAAGGAGGCGGAAUGCGUGGUGUAGCGGUGAAAUGCAUAGAUAUCACGCAGAACACCGAUUGCGAAGGCAGCAUACCGGCGCCCAACUGACGCUGAAGCACGAAAGCGUGGGGAUCGAACAGGAUUAGAUACCCCUGUAGUC